rnacentral:misc_RNA from 1 species
GAUGAAGAACGUAGCGAAAUGCGAUACCUGGUGUGAAUUGCAGAAUCCCGCGAACCAUCGAGUCUUUGAACGCAAGUUGCGCCCGAGGCCACCCGGCCGAGGGCACGCCUGCCUGGGCGUCACGCCAAAACACGCUCCCACCCCCCCUCACCGGGGGAGCGGGACGCGGCGUCUGGCCCCCCGUGCCGCGAGGCGCGGUGGGCCGAAGAUCGGGCUGCCGGCGUACCGUGCCGGGCACAGCGCGUGGUGGAUCUCUACUCGGCGCAGUGCACCCGGCGCGUAGCCGGCGCAGCGGCACCUAAGGACCCAACGAACGGAGCGCGAGCCGCUCCGACCGCGACCCCAGGUCAGGCGGGACUACCCGCUGAGUUUAAGCAUAUCAAUAAGCGGAGGA